rnacentral:rRNA from 1 species
CACGUAGUUAGCCGGGGCUUUCUCGUGAGGUACCGUCACCACGCCGCCUUGUUCAAACGGCGCUCCUUCGUCCCUCACAACAGAGCUUUACGACCCGAAGGCCUUCUUCGCUCACGCGGCGUCGCUCCGUCAGACUUUCGUCCAUUGCGGAAGAUUCCCUACUGCUGCCUCCCGUAGGAGUCUGGGCCGUGUCUCAGUCCCAGUGUGGCCGGUCACCCUCUCAGGCCGGCUACGCAUCGUCGCCUUGGUGAGCCGUUACCUCACCAACUAGCUAAUGCGCCGCGGGCCCAUCCGCAAGUGACAGCCAAAGGCCGCCUUUCAACCAAAGACCAUGCGGUCUUCGGUGUUAUCCCGGUAUUAGCCCCGGUUUCCCGGAGUUAUCCCGGUCUUGCGGGCAGGUUGCCCACGUGUUACUCACCCGUCCGCCGCUGACCAAACAAGAGCAAGCUCUCAUUCGGUCCGCUCGACUUGCAUGUAUUAGGCACGCCGCCAGCGUUCGUCCUGAGCCAGGAUCAAACUCU